GAUAGGUCAUGUUUAAGCCGUAGAUUACGCAAAUAACCGUACCUACGGCGCCACGUAUGUUGUUAAGCUGUUCCUAAUCACCAUUAAAUUAAUUUGAUGUCUAAAUAAAUAAACAAAAUAUAAUUAGAUCAAACUCACCUAGUAAACUCUCAAAUUGUCUCCUUAAUUUUUAAUUAUACGACUACUUAAAGAAUUUAUAAGUCCCGGCGGCAUGUUUUAAGUUCAUUGGAAGGAUGAUGGAAUCUAUUUAGAAGGCACUAGAAAUGAAUAGAAUCUAUAAUAAUAAAACAGGCUUUUCUCUCACCUUAGCCUUCCACGUCCCUCUUUAGAGGUGGGCAUUUGUUAACAUGUGUCGCCAUUUAAUUGGUUGCGUUUUUUCUGUUUUUUUUCUUAUUCGAUUUGGGCUUCGGCUAAUGUGAUGGCUAUUUAGUUUUUAUUUCACAGCCCAUUUUAAAGCCCGCUCAUAUGAACUGAUGGAGCUUAGGGUUUUCCCGUAUCGUCUUCUACCUUCUCAUCCUCGACCGCGAGACCAGAGAUUCGAGCCUGUUCAAAAUCCUUAACGCCUCCAAUUUCAAUAACUCUGCAACUUAACUCCACCUCACCCCUUUUAAUCCAGUCCUUCCACUUGAAUUGCUCAAUCAAUACACCUCUUCGUAUUCCACCGUACCCAGCUUAAUCCUCAGCUAUAAAUACGGCAUCUCACCAUCUUAAGAUGCACACCUCAAAUCAGACAGUAAUGGCACUCACCAACGCUCUCCAGUAUAUCCGGUUCAAUGCCUCUUUACUCCUCCUGAAACUCUCUCAUGGUAUAGAUAUGUAGAACGCCGGAGACCUUCGAGGCAAAGCUUUUUCGUCCUGCUUGAAUAUUAAACAAGCACUCGCUUUCUGAAACCCCGACAAUCUUGAAUCAAGAGCUACGUUUCUCUGAGCUGAAGGCUGGUACCAGGGAAUUAAUCCCGCUGGAGCUUUUCAUGUUUUCCAAUUACGACCAGUUGAUGUUGUAGGUGAACCACCAACACCUAUUUGCCCGAUAUUUUUUUCAUAUCUCCCGAAGAUUAAAAGAGAUCUCAAAACUUGGGCAGCCAUGGCAAGCACCAAAGUCCAGAGGAUUAUGAUCCAGCUAAUUAAAGAUCUGGGCACAGAAGAAAUAUGAAUUCAUUAGAAAAGAAAAUACCCAUCUGAGCGAGAGCCUCCAACUUCAACAAGCUUCCUACACCUCAUACUCUUUCUUGCCGUGUUGAGGAAGAGUUAUGUCCCUCUUAGCCAAGCCCUAAAGUCCAGCAAGAAAGAGUUGAGGCUAGACUAAGAGAAGGCAGAGCAGUGAACAUGCGCAUGAUUUGUUGUCGCAAGGAAAAUGCGACAAGUACAAUACUUGCCUUUGGAGAUUGAUAACCGAGCUUAGAUGCUACGCCACUAAACCGAACCAAGACGCCAUACCCAAAAUAUCCGACCAGAAGAGGAAUCUGGCUUAGUAGGUGUUCAAUCAGUUUCUCGAAGAUAGCCAUGACGAGGAACAUUGAGAUGAGAAUGUCUGUAACUACAAAACCAGAGGAAACGGCGUUAACUAAGUCAUCAAAUCGAGAUUUGCAUGGUUCUUCUCGCCAGUUGUACACCAGAGCUCCAAUGGGAGGCCAUGGAUGGUUCUUCUGGCCUUAGUGUUGUUAGUUCGUUAAGGUGAAAUAGAGAGAGAAGUUAGAUGAAAAAGGAGAAGAUAGUGAGCAAUAUGUGAUAAUGUGAAAGUUUUGGGAUUUUGUUAGAAAUUAAAGAAUUGUAACUUUUUGGGGACACACGUUGUCUUCUUACUCUGCUUUUUUGAGAUUUGCAAAGAAAAUAGUGAUGUUUGCUAU